GCUCCACCUAUAAAUGUGUAUGCUCCCAGCGAUAAACAGAGUAACUCCCGCAAAUCAGAAAGAACAAUCUCUGUUAAUCACCAUCUCCAACAAUGGCGAGUUCCUCCAUCUUGCUUGCUAAUUUACAAGCUAACCGCUGCUUAGACACUUUUCAGUGAUUGAGAGUAAUGAAUGGCGGGAGACACAUUUAAAGCACUUACAAACCUUGUGUGCUCAUGUUUGUUAGGAAUCGGUGAUAGCUUUCUUUUUCUCUAGCUUAUAGAGAAAGUUUGUAUCAAACAAAUAAUUUUGAAGCCUGCUUUGGACAAUGAUUGAUUGUGGCAUACUCAGGAUGAUCUGCAAGUCGGACUCAAAGACCUACAAGACUUUCUGAAACCAACGUAACAAGUGAAUUCUUACCAGGAUAUUUGAUCGAUAUAGUCAAUGUGAGAACUUACUUCCCUUUUGCUUGUGGUGUCCUUAAAUGUUUUAUGUUUUAAUCUUUUGGGAUUUGACCCCUUUUUUCUU